rnacentral:rRNA from 1 species
CGUCUAUAUACGUAUAGCAUAUCAAUAAGCGGAGGAAAAGAAACCUAACAAGGAUUCCCUUAGUAACGGCGAGUGAAGCGGGUAAGAGCUCAAAUUUGAAAUCUUCAAGGUUCUACCUUGACGAAUUGUAGUUUAUAGAAGUGUUUUCUGUUAGUAGGAGUGGCAAAAGUUCUUUGGAAUAGGACAUCAUAGAGGGUGAGAAUCCCGUAUUUGGUCAUUCCUUCUAGCUUUGUGAUACACUUUCAACGAGUCGGAUUGUUUGGGAAUGCAGUCCAAAAUGGGUGGUAAAUUUCAUCUAAAGCUAAAUAUUGGCGAGAGACCGAUAGCGAACAAGUACCGUGAGGGAAAGAUGAAAAGAACUUUGAAAAGAGAGUUAAACAGUACGUGAAAUUGUCAGAAGGGGAAGCGUUUGACACCAGUGUUGUUUUUCCGAAAAUCAAUUACGAAUGUUUUGUUUUUGAGAAGUUAUGACUUCAUCGGCUUGCUUCUCUCUUUACGAAACUUUCUUAAUGCACUUUUCGGUUAACAAGUCAACAUCAAUUUCUUUUGUUGUAAAAGGGUAUGAGGAAGGUGGCUUUCUUUUCGGAGAAAGUGUUUAUAGCCUUGUACCUCUGCAAUCGGAGAGAUUGAGGUCUGCAGCGUAGAUCCUUCGGGGUUAGAUACAUUUGUGCUAAGUUAUAGCUUUUCAUAGACAACUUGUUGACUAUGUUAGUCUUGUAGCUUACUCGCUUAUGCUAUUUUACCUACGCUUAGGAUGUUGACGCGCGUGUGUGCGUG